AACACCAUUUUCAUAUAUAUAUCAAGCGUUUAUUCACAUUUUGAUCAGAUUUCAAAUGGGGACGCUGCUCUUGUUGUUCUGCUUAUGCUUUGCAGCCCCUCUCACCCCUCCCAUGCUGUCCAUGGCACAUGAAAUCAAACCACCGCCAGGGAGACCAGCCGAGGAUUUGAAGACACAGAGAUGCAGUAUUUCAUUAAUAUUGCUCCACAGCCGCCGGUGAAGCCAUGCAACCCAUCAUCCCACAAUCAAGUGGUGAUUUUUUAGGUUGUCAUGCCUUUGAUCAUUUGCAAUUUGCCAAAUUGUCAGUCGGCAGUUCGGGAGAAUUGUCAGUUGGCAGUUCGGGGGACGGCGACUGAGAAGGCAACAUGCUACGAGUGUUGCAUUUGCCAAUUCUGAUGGGAUUCCACCUGCAAUCUCUGAACUGCCGAUUGACAGUUCUCCCGAACUGCCGACUGACAAUUCUCCCGAACUGCCGACUGACAAUUCUCCUGUCAAUUCUUCUGAACUGCCGCCGGUCAAUUCUCCUGAACUGCCGACUGACAAUUCUCCUGUGAUGCCAAGUGACAAUUUUUCAUGCGAAUCAACCUCCUAUCUCAUUCUUACCGAGUGCUCCACCACUUGAAGUACUAGCCUGCCACAGAUGUGGAUAUCUAGACUGCAACAUCCUCCGUUCGCAGUUUGUGUGUCCAUAUUGUGGGAACAUGUGGCCAGUUAAUGUCUACGCCGUUUAAUCAGUUGGUCUUAUCACUGAUCUAUCUAUCUUACUAAUGUAAACAAAUAGUUGCAGGACAAACAGAAAUUAUCUUACGUUAGCUUAACUUUCAUUAGCAUGUCAGAAGUCAAUAUGGAGGUGUUUUGCACUUACAUGCUAUGUUCUACUGGAAGCUUUAACUCUAUUAGCAUGUGAGAAGUCAAUAUGGAGGUGUUUUACACUUACAUGCUAUGUUUUAUUGGAAGCUGAACUUUAUUUCUUAAAGAGUCUCAACCAAAAAAAUACUUACCGAGAGAGAGUCUUGUUUCUAACGAUAUGAUUUAUGGAGUCUCGGAGUCCUACUUGCUGCCAUGUUAGCUUCCCUAAAUCAUUGUCCAUAAACUUUAUCCACAAUGACUUGUUUUUCGGAUGCUGCAAACUUUGACUUCUGUCAUCUUCUCUCUCCUCUUCGAAGUUCUCUGAUUGUUCCUCUUCAUUUUCAUCAUCUAUUUCAUCCCAAUUGUCACAUUCUCUGUGUCCAUGUUGUGGGAAAGUGUGGCCACUUAUUAUCUACACGGUUUAAGA